rnacentral:rRNA from 1 species
AUUGAACGCUGGCGGCAGGCCUAACACAUGCAAGUCGAACGAGUGGCGGACGGGUGAGUAAUGUCUGGGAAACUGCCUGAUGGAGGGGGAUAACUACUGGAAACGGUAGCUAAUACCGCAUACCAUCGGAUGUGCCCAGAUGGGAUUGGCUAGUAGGUGGGGUAAAGGCUCACCUAGGCGCCGAUCCCUAGCUGGUCUGAGAGGAUGACAAGCAACACUGGAACAGAGACACGGUCAAGACUCCUACGGGAGGCAGCAGUGGGGAAGAUUGCACAAUGGGCGAAAGCCUGAUGCAGCCAUGCAGCGUGUAUGAAGAAGGCCUUCGGGUUGUAAAGUACUUUCAGCGGGGAGGCGUUACCCGCAGAAGAAGCACCGGCUAACUCCGUGCCAGCAGCCGCGGUAAUUC